CCUACGGGUGGCAGCAGUGAGGAAUAUUGGUCAAUGGACGGAACUCUGAUCCAGCGACGCCGCGUGCAGGAAGACGGCUCUAUGAGUUGUAAACUGCUUUUGUACAAGGGUAAACCUGAAUACGUGUAUUCAGCUGAUAGUACUGUACGAAUAAGGAUCGGCUAACUCCGUGCCAGCAGCCGCGGUAAUACGGAGGGGCCAAGCGUUAUCCGGAUUUAUUGGGUUUAAGGGGUGCGUAGGCGGAUUGAUAAGUUAGAGGUGAAAUGUCCGAGCUUAACUCGGGAACUGCCUCUAAUACUGUUUGUCUAGAGAGUAGAUGCGGUAAGCGGAAUGUAUGGUGUAGCGGUGAAAUGCUUAGAGAUCA
rnacentral:rRNA from 1 species